rnacentral:rRNA from 1 species
AGACAGCAGCCGCCGCGGUAAUACGGAGGGUGCAAGCGUUAAUCGGAAUUACUGGGCGUAAAGCGUGCGUAGGCGGUUUGUUAAGUCUGCUGUGAAAUCCCCGGCUCAACCUGGGAAUGGCAGUGGAUACUGGCGAGCUAGAGUGUGUCAGAGGAUGGUGGAAUUCCCGGUGUAGCGGUGAAAUGCGUAGAGAUCGGGAGGAACAUCAGUGGCGAAGGCGGCCAUCUGGGACAACACUGACGCUGAGGCACGAAAGCGUGGGGAGCAAACAGGAUUAGAUACCCCAGUAGUCCCUGUCUCUUAUACA